CAAAGGUUUAGUCCCAGCCUUACUAUCAAAUCUUACUUAAUUUACACAUGCAAGUCUCCGCACCCCGGUGAAAACGCCCUUAAACCCCUUUUGGGGAAAGGAGCCGGUAUCAGGCACAACUAACUUGCCCAAGACACCUAGCCACGCCACACCCACACGGGCCUUCAGCAGUGAUUAACAUUAAAUAUAAGCGACAGCUUGAUUUAGUCAAAGUAAAUAGGGCCGGCUAAUCUGGUGCCAGCCGCCGCGGCUAUACCAAGAAGGCCCAAUCUGAUAGUUACCGGCGUAAAGCGUGAUUAAAGAUACUUAAACACUAGAGUUAAACUGUAGCCGUGCUGUGAUAAGCCCGCUACCUAGAAAAUCAGGAACGAAAGUCACUCCAACCAAUCUACUUGAACCCACGACAACUAGGACACAAACUGGGAUUAGAUACCCCACUAUGCCUAGUCGUAAACCCUUUAACUACCCACACAACCGCCAGGGAACUACAAGCCCAAGCUUAAAACCCAAAGGACUUGACGGUGCCCCAACCCACCUAGAGGAGCCUGUCCUUUAAUCGAUGAUCCACGUUAAACCUCACCACUUCUGGCCCAUCCGCCUGUAUACCUCCGUCGUCAGCUUACCGCGUGAGCGAUUUAGUGAGCCCAAUGCCCAAACCCGCCAACACGUCAGGUCAAGGUGCAGCAAAUGAAGUGGGAAGUGAUGGGCUACAUUUUCUAUUAUAGAAUAUACGAAAGACAAACAUGAAACUUUGUCGGAAGGUGGAUUUAGAAGUAAAAAGAAACAAGAAUGUUCUUUUUAAUAAGGCACAGGGGCAUGUACACACCGCCCGUCGCCCUCUUCACUGCAAUAACUAAGUAACUAACAACCCAACAGCAACCUAGAGGAGGUAAGUCGUAACAUGGUAAGCAUACCGGAAGGUGUGCUUGGAAAAAU
rnacentral:ncRNA from 1 species